rnacentral:rRNA from 1 species
GAGCGGAUGAAGGGAGCUUGCUCCUGGAUUCAGCGGCGGACGGGUGAGUAAUGCCUAGGAAUCUGCCUGGUAGUGGGGGAUAACGUCCGGAAACGGGCGCUAAUACCGCAUACGUCCUGAGGGAGAAAGUGGGGGAUCUUCGGACCUCACGCUAUCAGAUGAGCCUAGGUCGGAUUAGCUAGUUGGUGGGGUAAAGGCCUACCAAGGCGACGAUCCGUAACUGGUCUGAGAGGAUGAUCAGUCACACUGGAACUGAGACACGGUCCAGACUCCUACGGGAGGCAGCAGUGGGGAAUAUUGGACAAUGGGCGAAAGCCUGAUCCAGCCAUGCCGCGUGUGUGAAGAAGGUCUUCGGAUUGUAAAGCACUUUAAGUUGGGAGGAAGGGCAGUAAGUUAAUACCUUGCUGUUUUGACGUUACCAACAGAAUAAGCACCGGCUAACUUCGUGCCAGCAGCCGCGGUAAUACGAAGGGUGCAAGCGUUAAUCGGAAUUACUGGGCGUAAAGCGCGCGUAGGUGGUUCAGCAAGUUGGAUGUGAAAUCCCCGGGCUCAACCUGGGAACUGCAUCCAAAACUACUGAGCUAGAGUACGGUAGAGGGUGGUGGAAUUUCCUGUGUAGCGGUGAAAUGCGUAGAUAUAGGAAGGAACACCAGUGGCGAAGGCGACCACCUGGACUGAUACUGACACUGAGGUGCGAAAGCGUGGGGAGCAAACAGGAUUAGAUACCCUGGUAGUCCACGCCGUAAACGAUGUCGACUAGCCGUUGGGAUCCUUGAGAUCUUAGUGGCGCAGCUAACGCGAUAAGUCGACCGCCUGGGGAGUACGGCCGCAAGGUUAAAACUCAAAUGAAUUGACGGGGGCCCGCACAAGCGGUGGAGCAUGUGGUUUAAUUCG